UCUUUUUUUGAACUGUAGUGUAUGUAGAAUUUAACAUGAAUCAUUAUUAAUAAAUGCUCUAGAAGCAGCACCUAAUAUACACUUUUCCUUAUACAAUCAUUUAUAUUUCUAAAAUCUGCUGACAAAACAGGUCUAUGCAAUCGUUUUUGCGUCAACUACCUAAAUAUAAAGGGUGAAGGCUGUUCCUGCCAAUGCAGGCUUCUUUUACAGGUCACACAGGCAGGCAGAGCAGACACACAAUCCCCUCGCUGAUGACCAGCACUGACUUCAGCUGCUCAGAGUCCUCUGCUAUCACACACAGAGAGAGGGAGAGAAGAAGAGGUGACAACAGUGCCCUGCUGUGAAAGACAAGGACUCCCCAUGUACCCUGAGAGCUUGGUUUUCAGCACCCUCAAGCCCUGCCCCUUCGUCCUCAUGCCACCCUCUACAGCUCAGCAAGACUCGAUUACUCAUACGGUGGCAGACAGAGAUGAGCAGAUAGCACUUGGGACUGUCUCUAGAUGGGCCAACAAAAGCAACCUGCCAUCAUAAUCGGCAGUUAUAGCAGCCCAUAAUCUGCAGGGGGAGGCUGAACUGAUCUGAUGGCUAUCACUACAAAUCUCACUGCAAAUCACUCAAAUGACACAGAGAGCCACCGCACACCAAAUCCACAAACCACCGCUGAGAACAGUACUGCUCAUAACCUAUAAAUACAGAAAACAAACUUGAAUAGUGUAGUACUGCGGAAGACACAUAAAAAUAUCUACCCACCACAAUUCAUCUCAGUGAGCCAAGACUUGGACAGCCUAGACCAAUAUGUUAUCCUAAAUGGGUCUGUUGUUGGUCAUUCUCUGUGCAGGAUUUGUGCCACACUGCUGAUCAAAGUACAUACCCAGCAAUAGAUGAGAAGAGCGGUCCAGAUCUACUGCAAUUGGCAUCCAUUAGAGAGUGCUCAUGUGUGUGAGUGUGUACACUUGAAACCAACCCCUAAAUGUUUCUACCAUUGUUUGAGAGUCAUUACAGUGCAUUGAUGUUGGAUAAUAGUGGAUGAUUGCAGAUCCUUUGUCCUGCAUUGUGCGGUUUUGCAUUAAGCUGGAUUGUGGAUUGUGACAUGCCUUAUGAAGCACAAAAUCACAAAUAGGUUUUAAAUUAAGCUGUACUUGUGCCUGACUUGUAUGUACUGUAUAUAAGCUUUUGUAACCAAGAUGCAGGUGAUUGUGGGGUAAGUUGUGCCAGUGCAUAUGUAGGCCUAUCAUAUAGAUGCAUAAGAGUGAAUAAAUGAUAAUAU